CUCGCUCUUAUUCUCUAUUAGGAUUGAUGGAAUUUUUAAAAAAAAAAGAAGUAAAGAAGGGUUUUUCUUUAAAUGGCCUGGAUUGAUUAAUUAGAAAUCUUGGACAUUAUCGCCUCAUCGAUCCUUAUGAGAAUAUUAGAUUUUAAAAAUUUUAUUUUAAAUUAAUUAUGAUGGUAUUUUACUUGAAGUUUGAUUUUUUUAUCAGGUUUA
rnacentral:lncRNA from 1 species